rnacentral:rRNA from 1 species
AGUGUCUGGUGGGUAGUUUGACUGGGGCGGUCUCCUCCUAAAGAGUAACGGAGGAGCACGAAGGUUGGCUAAUCCUGGUCGGACAUCAGGAGGUUAGUGCAAUGGCAUAAGCCAGCUUGACUGCGAGCGUGACGGCGCGAGCAGGUGCGAAAGCAGGUCAUAGUGAUCCGGUGGUUCUGAAUGGAAGGGCCAUCGCUCAACGGAUAAAAGGUACUCCGGGGAUAACAGGCUGAUACCGCCCAAGAGUUCAUAUCGACGGCGGUGUUUGGCACCUCGAUGUCGGCUCAUCACAUCCUGGGGCUGAAGUAGGUCCCAAGGGUAUGGCUGUUCGCCAUUUAAAGUGGUACGCGAGCUGGGUUUAGAACGUCGUGAGACAGUUCGGUCCCUAUCUGCCGUGGGCGCUGGAGAACUGAGGGGGGCUGCUCCUAGUACGAGAGGACCGGAGUGGACGCAUCACUGGUGUUCGGGUUGUCAUGCCAAUGGCACUGCCCGGUAGCUAAAUGCGGAAGAGAUAAGUGCUGAAAGCAUCUAAGCACGAAACUUGCCCCGAGAUGAGUUCUCCCUGACUCCCUGAGAGUCCUGAAGGAACGUUGAAGACGACGACGUUGAUAGGCCGGGUGUGUAAGCGC